UACGGAGGGUCCAAGCGUUAUCCGGAAUCAUUGGGUUUAAAGGGUCCGUAGGCGGUUUUGUAAGUCAGUGGUGAAAGCCCAUCGCUCAACGGUGGAACGGCCAUUGAUACUGCAAGACUUGAAUUAUUGGGAAGCAACUAGAAUAUGUAGUGUAGCGGUGAAAUGCUUAGAGAUUACAUGGAAUACCAAUUGCGAAGGCAGGUUGCUACCAAUACAUUGACGCUGAUGGACGAGAGCGUGGGGAGCUGAACAGG
rnacentral:rRNA from 1 species